GAUGAACGCUAGCUACAGGCUUAACACAUGCAAGUCGAGGGGAAACGACAUCGAAAGCUUGCUUUUGAUUGGCGUCGACCGGCGCACGGGUGAGUAACGCGUAUCCAACCUGCCCAUCACUUGGGAAUAACCUUGCGAAAGUAAGACUAAUACCCAAUGAUAUCCCACGAAGGCAUCGGAAUGGGAUUAAAGUUUUAUCGGUGAUGGAUGGGGAUGCGUCUGAUUAGCUUGUUGGCGGGGUAACGGCACACCAAGGCAACGAUCAGUAGGGGUUCUGAGAGGAAGGUACACCACAAUGGAACUGAGACACGGACCAAAAUCCUACGGGAGGCAGCAGUGAGGAAUAUUGGUCAAUGGACGAGAGCCUGAACCAGCCAAGUAGCGUGCAGGAAGACGGCCCUAUGGGUUGUAAACUGCUUUUAUAAGGGAAUAAAGUGGGUCACGUGUGACUUUUUGCAUGUACCUUAUGAAUAAGGACCGGCUAAUUCCGUG
rnacentral:rRNA from 1 species